AACACUGUUAACCUGCGGUACCUGCGGAAGGAUCAUUAACAAAUCAAUUGUGCGGGUCUUCGGACCUUGCAUAUAAACCCGAACCCGCGCAGCAAUGCCGGGCUAGGUGUGCAUGAGCAAUCAUGUACGGCCGAGUCUGAGUGUGCAAAUGCUCAGUCGAAGCCAAAUAGACGCUUGUAUGUUUUGACAGAUCUAGUUGACAUCUUUAAAAUGACAACUUUUAACAACGGAUCUCAGAUC
rnacentral:misc_RNA from 1 species